rfam:Gossypium arboreum cultivar AKA8401 contig_39114_1, whole genome shotgun sequence.
AUCCCGUGAUUAGGGCAUCUCAGAAGUAACUCCUUGAAUAUUUCCCAUGCCUUGUAUAGGGACUCAUCAUCCAUUUGUUGGAAAGUAGUGAUCUUAUUCUGUAAUU